CACGUAGGGCGCAAGCGUUGUCCGGAAUUAUUGGGCGUAAAGGGCGCGUAGGCGGCCUGGCAAGUGGAAGGUGAAAUCCCUCGGCUUAACCGAGGAACUGCCCUCCAAACUGCUUGGCUUGAGUCCGGGAGAGGUGAGUGGAAUUCCCGGUGUAGCGGUGAAAUGCGCAGAUAUCGGGAAGAACACCCGUGGCGAAGGCGGUUCUCUGGGACGGUACUGACGCUGAGACGCGAAAGCGUGGGGAGCGAACAGG
rnacentral:rRNA from 1 species